rnacentral:rRNA from 1 species
AUUGAACGCUGGCGGCAUGCCUUACACAUGCAAGUCGAACGGCAGCACGGGGCAACCUGGUGGCGAGUGGCGAACGGGUGAGUAAUGCAUCGGAACGUACCUUCCAGUGGGGGAUAACGUAGCGAAAGUUACGCUAAUACCGCAUAUUCUGUGAGCAGGAAAGCAGGGGAUCGCAAGACCUUGCGCUGAUUGAGCGGCCGAUGUCAGAUUAGCUAGUUGGUGAGGUAAAGGCUCACCAAGGCGACGAUCUGUAGCGGGUCUGAGAGGAUGAUCCGCCACACUGGAACUGAGACACGGUCCAGACUCCUACGGGAGGCAGCAGUGGGGAAUUUUGGACAAUGGGGGCAACCCAGAUCCAGCCAUGCCGCGUGAGUGAAGAAGGCCUUCGGGUUGUAAAGCUCUUUCGGCCGGGAAGAAAUCGCACGGGCUAAUACCCUGUGUGGAUGACGGUACCGGAAUAAGAAGCACCGGCUAACUACGUGCCAGCCGCCGCAGUAA